GUGUCAGCAGCCGCGGUAAGACGAACCGUGCAAACGUUGUUCGGAAUCACUGGGCUUAAAGGGCGCGUAGGCGGGUGGUCAAGUCAGGGGUGAAAUCUUUCGGCUCAACCGGAAAACUGCCCUUGAUACUGACUGCCUCGAGGGAGGUAGGGGUAUGUGGAACUUCCGGUGGAGCGGUGAAAUGCGUUGAUAUCGGAAGGAACGCCGGUGGCGAAAGCGACGUACUGGACCUCUUCUGACGCUGAGGCGCGAAAGCUAGGGUAGCGAACGGGAUUAGAUACCCCGGUAGUCCUAGCCCUAAACGAUGGGUACUAGGUAGUGGACUUAACAUGGGUUCACUGCCGAAGCAAAAGUGUUAAGUACCCCGCCUGGGGAGUAUGGUCGCAAGGCUGAA
rnacentral:rRNA from 1 species